rnacentral:lncRNA from 1 species
AGAAGGUCCUUUCACCGCCUAGAGCCGAUUUGCGCUUUUCAUAACACUGGCUAUGACUCUUCCAUGCUCUUAUGUCUUUUUCCAGUUCGUUCUGUGUAUUUUGGAACAUCUUCAGCUAGAAUAACAGAACACUGGGGAUGAAGUCGGUAGGCAAUUCAAUACAGUAUUCAAAAAGUUAACUGCUUAAUGAAACAUAGAACGAAAAAGUAAUAUAUAGUAUCUACAGAACAUGAGGUUCCAAUAUACAGUAAUGAAAAACAAAAAUAGGUUCAAAAAGACGUGCUUAUAUAGGAUUAUGAGGGGCAGAGAGAAACCUUCUGGAUGGGUAGAAGAUGAGCUACAAAUACAAAAAAAAUUAAGACAACAACAAUAAAUGUCUAAAGAGAUUGUUAGAUUGAACAAUAUCUAAAGAGAUUGUUAAAAACACAUAAAAAAUGAGAGAGAUACCAGUUCAUGUUGGAGAGUGUGUGCUAGUACGAAGAGGCAGGUUUGCACAAUUAUGGUGUUCUAGGAUCACAUGGACCCAGGUCACCCAGCCUUGCUUCAAUAUUUGCUAGUAUAAACAUACACAAUCACACAACCUGCACCAAACAGACAUGGAAUCAUACAACUUUACAUAUGCUCUCAUUGUCAGUCAAAUCCAACAAAUAUACAAAACAAAUUACAGCUCCAACUACACAAUUCAAACCACUAAAGAACAGUCGAUACAAAAGAUAUAUAAAAACAACACUUUACUGCAGCACAUAUACACAUUUGAAUUAAAUUGAUGCCCCCACAACGGCUGCCAUUAGUAUUAUCAAAAUUAGAGGCAAUUUUUGAUCCAAAAUAUAUUAAUUACUUAGAAUACUCUUACAUUUGAUAAUAUUAUUAAACGAUGUCCGACAAAUGGUAUAAUCUUAUUAGCUCAAUGAUUACUUUUAACAUAGAAAAUGCUGAUGAAUGUUCCUAUAAUUAUCCUACUAAGAAUAAAGAAUUUGGCUUGUGCUUUGCUUUUUGUCUAAAUAUGCAGGACACUGCAGAUUGAACAGAGUUGCAAGAAUGACCUUGCUUCAAUAUUUGCUAGUAUAAACAUACACAAUCACACAACCUGCUCCAAAAAGACACGGAAUCAUACAACUUUACAUAUGCUCUCAUUGUCAGUCAAAUCCAACAAAUAUACAAAACAAAUUACAGCUCCAACUACACAAUUCAAACCACUAAAGAACAGUCGAUACAAAAAAUAUAUAAAAACAACACUUUACUGCAGCACAUAUACACAUUUGAAUUAAAUUGAUGCCCUCACAACGGCUGCCAUUAGUAUUAUCAAAAUUAGAGGCAAUUUUUGAUCCAAAAUAUAUUAAUUACUUAGAAUACUCUUACAUUUGAUAAUAUUAUUAAACGAUGUCCGACAAAUGGUAUAAUCUUAUUAGCUCAAUGAUUACUUUUAACAUAGAAAAUGCUGAUGAAUGUUCCUAUAAUUAUCCUACUAAGAAUAAAGAAUUUGGCUUGUGCUUUGCUUUUUGUCUAAAUAUGCAGGACACUGCAGAUUGAACAGAGUUGCAAGAAUGACCUUGCUUCAAUAUUUGCUAAUAUAAACAAACACAAUCACACAAGCUGCUCCAAAAAGACACGGAAUCAUACAACUUUACAAUGCUCUCAUUGUCAGUCAAAUCCAACAAAUAUACAAAACAAAUUACAGAUCCAACUACACGAUUCAAACCACUAAAGAACAGUUGAUCAAUUAUAACACAGCCUUUUGAUUAUAUUCAUCGAAAAGCACAUAAUAAAGCUGUAUUUACCACCUCGUCUAAUAAUGAAAAGCACAAAUCGGAUCAAAAGAGCAUUAGAUCCGACAGUAAAAAACAACUAUAGGACCCUAAUUAAACGUAAUUAAAGUAAAUUGAAUUAAAAAACGAAGAGAGGUUAGAGAGAUUACCAGCUCCGGCGAGAAAGAUAGAUUUAAUAGGAUAAUUGAUUUCCCAGCGGCGAAGCAGCGCUUGAAAUCCUAGAAAAAAGGGGCACACAACAGAGAGAAUCGUCAGUCAAACAGCUAAAUCAUAAAUCUAUACUCCUCAAAAUACCCUAGAAUCAAGCUUCUGNUGCAAGAACAAUCGAUCAUUAAUGGCUAUAUUUUAAAAUAUGUGGGAGAGAAAAUAUGAGAGUAAGAAGGAGACAUAGAGAUACAC